UGAACGCUAGCGGCAGGCUUAACACAUGCAAGUCGAGGGGUAACACGAAAGAGCUUGCUUUUUUGGUGACGACCGGCGCACGGGUGCGUAACGCGUAUGCAACCUACCUCUUACUGGGGGAUAGCCCGAAGAAAUUCGGAUUAACACCCCAUAGUAUUAUUCAUUCGCAUGUUUGAAUAAUUAAAGGUUACGGUAAGAGAUGGGCAUGCGUCCCAUUAGCUAGAUGGUAAGGUAACGGCUUACCAUGGCAACGAUGGGUAGGGGGCCUGAGAGGGUGAUCCCCCACACUGGUACUGAGACACGGACCAGACUCCUACGGGAGGCAGCAGUGAGGAAUAUUGGGCAAUGGAGGCAACUCUGACCCAGCCAUGCCGCGUGCAGGAAGAAGGUUCUAUGGAUCGUAAACUGCUUUUAUUUGGGAAUAAACCUUUCUACGUGUAGAAAGCUGAAGGUACCAAACGAAUAAGCACCGGCUAACUCC
rnacentral:rRNA from 1 species